CCUACGGGGGGCUGCAGUGGGGAAUAUUGGACAAUGGGCGAAAGCCUGAUCCAGCCAUGCCGCGUGUGUGAAGAAGGCCUUCGGGUUGUAAAGCACUUUCAGUGGGGAAGAAAGCCUUGGGGCUAAUACCCUCGAGGAAGGACAUCACCCACAGAAGAAGCACCGGCUAACUCCGUGCCAGCAGCCGCGGUAAUACGGAGGGUGCGAGCGUUAAUCGGAAUUACUGGGCGUAAAGCGCGCGUAGGCGGUCUGAUAAGCCGGUUGUGAAAGCCCCGGGCUCAACCUGGGAACGGCAUCCGGAACUGUCAGGCUAGGGGGCAGGAGAGGAAGGGAGAAUUCCCGGUGUAGCGGGGAAAUGCGUAGAGAUCGGGAGGAAUACCAGUGGCGAAGGCGGCCUUCUGGACUGACACUGACGCUGAGGUGCGAAAGCGUGGGUAGCAAACAGGAUUAGAUACCUAGUAGUC
rnacentral:rRNA from 1 species